rnacentral:rRNA from 1 species
AGUGGCGAACGGGUGAGUAAUACAUCGGAACGUACCUUAUCGUGGGGGAUAACGCAGCGAAAGCUGUGCUAAUACCGCAUACGCCCUGAGGGGGAAAGCGGGGGAUCGAAAGACCUCGCGCGAUUAGAGCGGCCGAUGCCUGAUUAGCUUGUUGGUGGGGUAAAAGCCCACCAAGGCGACGAUCAGUAGCUGGUCUGAGAGGACGAUCAGCCACACUGGGACUGAGACACGGCCCAGACUCCUACGGGAGGCAGCAGUGGGGAAUUUUGGACAAUGGGGGAAACCCUGAUCCAGCAAUGCCGCGUGAGUGAAGAAGGCCUUCGGGUUGUAAAGCUCUUUUGUCAGGGAAGAAACACCGGCUCUAACACAGUCCGGGAAUGACGGUACCUGAAGAAUAAGCACCGGCUAACUACGUGCCAGCAGCCGCGGUAAUACGUAGGGUGCGAGCGUUAAUCGGAAUUACUGGGCGUAAAGCGUGCGCAGGCGGUUAUACAAGACAGGCGUGAAAUCCCCGGGCUUAACCUGGGAAUGGCGCCUGUGACUGUAUAGCUAGAGUGUGUCAGAGGGGGGUAGAAUUCCACGUGUAGCAGUGAAAUGCGUAGAUAUGUGGAGGAAUACCAAUGGCGAAGGCAGCCCCCUGGGAUAACACUGACGCUCAUGCACGAAAGCGUGGGGAGCAAACAGGAUUAAAUACCCUGGU